rnacentral:rRNA from 1 species
UACGAGGGGGGCGAGCGUUGUUCGGAAUUAUUGGGCGUAAAGGGUGCGUAGGCGGUUUGGUAAGUCUCGUGUGAAAUCUCCGGGCUCAACUCGGAGCCUGCACGAGAAACUGCCGGGCUUGAGUGUGGGAGAGGUGAGUGGAAUUCCUGGUGUAGCGGUGAAAUGCGUAGAUAUCGGGAGGAACACCGGUGGCGAAGGCGGUUCUCUGGGCCUGUACUGACGCUGAGGAGCGAAAGCGUGGGGAGCGAACAGG